rnacentral:rRNA from 1 species
AUUGAACGCUGGCGGCAGGCCUAACACAUGCAAGUCGAACGAGUGGCGGAUGGGUGAGUAAUGUCUGGGAAACUGCCCGAUGGAGGGGGAUAACUACUGGAAACGGUAGAUAAUACCGCAUACCAUCGGAUGUGCCCAGAUUGGAUUAGCUUGUAGGUGAGGUAACGGCUCACCUAGGCGACGCUCCCUAGCUGGUCUGGGAGGAUGACCAGCAACACUGGAACUGAGACACGGGCCAGACUCCUAAGUGAGGCAGCAGUGGGGAAUAUUGCACAAUUGGCGAAAGCCUGAUGCAGCCAUGCCGCGUGUAUGAAGAAGGCCUUCGGGUUGUAAAGUACUUUCAGCGGGGAGGCGUUACCCGCAGAAGAAGCACCGGCUAACUCCGUGCCAGCAGCCGCGGUAAUAC